GAUGAACGCUGGCGGCGUGCCUAAUACAUGCAAGUCGAGCGAACAGAUAAGGAGCUUGCUCCUUUGACGUUAGCGGCGGACGGGUGAGUAACACGUGGAUAACCUACCUAUAAGACUGGGAUAACUUCGGGAAACCGGAGCUAAUACCGGAUAACAUAUUGAACCGCAUGGUUCAAUAGUGAAAGGCGGCUUUGCUGUCACUUAUAGAUGGAUCCGCGCCGUAUUAGCUAGUUGGUAAGGUAACGGCUUACCAAGGCAACGAUACGUAGCCGACCUGAGAGGGUGAUCGGCCACACUGGAACUGAGACACGGUCCAGACUCCUACGGGAGGCAGCAGUAGGGAAUCUUCCGCAAUGGGCGAAAGCCUGACGGAGCAACGCCGCGUGAGUGAUGAAGGUCUUCGGAUCGUAAAACUCUGUUAUCAGGGAAGAACAAAUGUGUAAGUAACUGUGCACAUCUUGACGGUACCUUAUCAGAAAGCCACGGCUAACUACGUG
rnacentral:rRNA from 1 species